UACAGAGGUCUCGAGCGUUGUUCGGAUUCAUUGGGCGUAAAGGGUGCGUAGGUGGCGCUGUAAGUCGGGUGUGAAAUCCUGAGGCUUAACCUCGGAACUGCAUUCGAUACUGCGGCGCUUGAGGACUGGAGAGGAGACUGGAAUUCACGGUGUAGCAGUGAAAUGCGUAGAGAUCGUAAGGAAGACCAGUGGCGAAGGCGGGUCUCUGGACAGUUCCUGACACUGAGGCACGAAGGCCAGGGGAGCAAACGGG
rnacentral:rRNA from 1 species